AUGAAGUUAGAAUUUGAAGCGGCGCAAUUUGUGAGCUCGAGGUUCGGAUAAGAAGGAUGAAAUGGGUUUCCUCUGAUUUUCGAUUUGCCCGUGUCACCCACUUCGACAUUACACAGAGUCCCCCCACCAAAAACCCUAGCUCCAUUUAUGCUUGUCGUCCUCGAUCCCAUGAACACCCCCGCGUCCCCUUCCUGCAAAAUCCAGUGCUAUAAUUACAACUGAAGAACACCUCGUAAAUCUGCUACAGUAAUGUCAGCCUCAUCCACAGCUUUUCCUCCUCAUAGUUCAUUAACAAAGCAGAAAACCCGGCGAUUUGCAUCAAUAAUCUCGAACAGAAGCCGUCCCGAAAGUCCUCUUUUUGGUUAUCUGCCUGCUUUCCCUUGUACCGUGCACCCUUAUCGGCGAUUGUUGUUAUACCAGAGCAAGCCUAUCUUUUCGAGAAAAUCAGCUCGGCGGUGGAUUGGGGCUCUCUUUUCAGACGAAGCUAUUGGUGAUGUGCAUCACAGGGAUCAAGGCGAACUGAGCUUGGAUGCAUUCCUCUCAGCUGCUGAAAUUCUUUGCAUUCUGCCGCCUUCCAUUUUUUCGAUAAGCUGCUUGCUUGGUUUGGUGAUUCCUGGCGCUUCUAAGCUGUUUCAAAUUUCGCUUGGAAACCAGUUUUUUGUGUGGCAGUUUUUUUUCUUGGUUUCUGCGGUGGCGAUUGGGGGGUUGCUUCGCAGAAGGCAGUGGCGGAGGAUUUGUGGGGAGAAUCAGAGAGCUUCUGGCGUUGAUUUGAUUGCGAGGAUUGAGAAGGUGGAGCAGGAUAUGAAGAGCUCGGCCACAAUUAGUCGAGUGUUGUCUAAGCAGCUUGAGAAGCUUAGCAUUAGGUUUAGGGUAACAAAGAAGGCUCUGAAAGACCCCAUUGCUGAGACAGCAGCAUUAGCAAAGAAAAACUCCGAAGUGACCCGUGCCCUGGCGAUCCAAGAGGACACUCUUGAGAAGGAGCUUGUUGAGAUUCAGAGAGUCUUGUUGGCAAUGCAGGUGAUGGAUUAUUCUCUAUCAUCGUAUCAUCGUUGAGAGCAUUGGGUUAUCGGCACAUCCUGCUACCUUCCCGUUGUUAGUUACCUGGAUGGCCGCGGAAUUACAUCUUCGCCUUUCAAAACCUCGUCAUUUGUUCAUAAAUUCCAACCGUUUGUUCCGCCCCUCAUACAUAGUUUGUUUGAUAAUUUGGUCUGGUUUGCUCUUUCUGACCACCAUGGAUUCUGUCCACAAUUGAGUUUCUUUUCCUCUUGUUAUGGGGGUUUUAUAAAGCUACAGCACAUAUCCAUGGAUUCAAGUGCUUCAUAUUCAGAAAAAGUUUCAAUUGGAAACACACAACAUGCUUCAACU